rnacentral:sRNA from 1 species
CCUUGUUCAUCAAUGCUAUAAUUAGUUACAUAAUAAAUUGAACAUCUAAAUACACCAAAUCCCCUCACUACUGCCAUAGUGAGGGGAUUU